AUGGUCACCAUAAACAUUGUAUAACCUUCUUCAAACAACAUCAGGGUUUGUGGGCAUUACCUUGUAUUAAUUAUACAAUAAAAUCUUUGUUGUCAGGCAUUACUGGUGAUUAAUGGGUUGGGCCCUUGGCCUUCUGCUCUGGCAUUAAUGAUAUCUGUCCUCGGGCCCAACCCAUUAAUCACCAGUAAUGCCUGACAACAAAAAUUUUAGUAUUAUUAAUAAAUAAAAUGUAUUUAUUGUUUAAAGGAAUUUAUCCAUCUUGCAGGUUGACACCAUAAAACAGUUGAAAAGAACAACCAAAAACAGCAGACGUUCUACAGAGACUGCCAAUGUAACAGAAGUGCAACAAUCACCGAUUUCAGAUGAAGAUCAUAAUCUGUCUACUUCAAUAAAUGAUCACACAUAUGACUUGCCUGAUGCUGCUGAAAUGAAGAAUCGGUUGGAUCGACUCAACUCCCAGAGAGAACAUUUAGAAGAACAACUGAGAAAUGUUCGGAGGAGAGAAAAACGAGCAAGGGUAACCUGUGAUUGCCUUUUGCAAGAGCUCAGUGAAAAAAACAUGUUGACAAGUGAAUUGCAAGAAAAACUAAGUUCUUUUGCAGAUGGCUUGAAAAGGUGGACGGUUCACCAGGUUUUAAUAAGGAUGUCUUUGGGACCUUGAAAGAAUUGCAUGAAAAAGAUCCGAAGAACUACACUCUCUGUAACAUCACCCUUGAUGCGAUGGCAGGGCGUUCAUUGAGCAGGGCGCUGUAAGAGACGGCAGCCACUCCAGCCGCUCCGCAGCACUGUUUCUCGUUUUUCAAUCCUUUUUUUGUUUUUCUUUCUUUUUCUUAUCCUACGUUUUACUGAUAGGUAUCCUAUGGAUACGGAAUUUUUUUUGUCAAUUUCCAUGCGGGAACCUCCCAAAUGGAUAAAUAAAAUUGUCUAUCUAUCUAUGGCAAUCAAACACCAAAUUGAGUAUGUCAAUGCUAACAAAAGAAUGGUUGGUUUCGUGGAGCCACUUGGUGACCGGGAAGAUGAUGCCAAAGAAGCCCUCGUGUUUAUGGCUGUUGGACUGCAUGGAUCAUGGGAAAUGCCAUUAGGUCACUUCUUUACAAGAACCCUAAGUGCCUCGGCACAGGCACAGCUUGUUCGUCAUCUGCUUCAUCUUAUGAAUGAAACUGGAAUGAGAGCAAGAGGAUUGACAAUGGAUGGGCAUGCCAGCAAUGUUGCUAUGUGUCGAAUUUUGGGAUGCAGUCUUGACCCACAAAGUUUGAAAACCUCUUUUGAUGAUCCAGCAAGCAGACAGGAUGUUCAUGUGUUUUUUGAUGCCUGCCAUAUGAUGAAGGUAGUUCGAAAUAUGUUGGAAAACUACCAGGUUGUGCAUUCAGAUGAAGGAAGGGUGUGCUGGCAACAUAUUAAAGAUCUCCAGAAGCUUCAGGAUGAUUGUGGACUUCGAGCUGGGAAUAAGUUGACGCGAGAUCAUAUUAACUUCAAGACACAGAAGAUGAAAGUAAAUCUAGCGGCACAACUCCUGAGCAGUUCUACUGCCAAAGCUCUGCGGCUGGCAAACACUUUGGGGCUUCAAAAUUUCAGCGAUGAUGACUGCAACAGCAACAGCAACUUUC